rnacentral:rRNA from 1 species
AGAGGAGCAUGGAAUUUCCGGUGUAACGGUAAAUGCGCAGAUAUCCGGAAGGGACACCAGUGGCGAAGGCGGUGCUCUGGGGUGUGCCUGACGCUGAGAGACGAAAGCUAAGGGGAGCGAACAGGAUUAGAGACCCUGGUAGUCCUAGCCCUAAACGAUGGAUGCUAGAUGUGGGGCCGAGAAGGCUCCGUGUCGCAGUUAACGCGCUAAGCAUCCCGCCUGGGGAUUACGGCCGCAAGGCUAAAACUCAAACGAAUUGACGGGGCCCCGCACAAGCAGCGGAGCGUGUGGUUUAAUUCGAUGUUACACGAAGAACCUUACCUGGGUUUGACAUGUAAGUGGUAGUGAAGCGAAAGCGGAGCGGCCCUUCGGGGAGCUUACACAGGUGCUGCAUGGCUGUCGUCAGCUCGUGCCGUGAGGUGUCGGGUUAAGUCCCGUAACGAGCGCAACCCUUGCCCUUAGUUACAAGUGUCUAAGGGGACUGCCGGCGGUAAGCCGGAGGAAGGUGGGGAUGACGUCAAGUCAGCAUGGCCCUUAUAUCCAGGGCUACACACACGCUACAAUGGUCAGUACAAAGGGCAGCGAAGCCGCGAGGUGAAGCGAAUCCCACCAAGGCUGAUCUAAGUUCGGAUUGCAGGCUGCAACUCGCCUGCAUGAAGCUGGAGUUGCUAGUAACCGCGCGUCAGCCAUAGUGCGGUGAAUACGUUCCCGGGGCUUGUACACACCGCCCGUCACGUCAUGGGAGUCGGUAACGCCUGAAGCUGGUAGUCUGGCCCUAACGGGGGGACGCCAUUUCUAAGGCGGGGCUGGGCAACUGGGACGAAGU